GACGAACGCUGGCGGCGUGCUUAACACAUGCAAGUCGAGCGGUAAGGCCUUUCGGGGUACACGAGCGGCGAACGGGUGAGUAACACGUGGGUGAUCUGCCCUGCACUUCGGGAUAAGCCUGGGAAACUUGGUCUAAUACCGUAUAUGACCUCCUCUCGCAUGGUGGGUGGUGGUAAGAUUUAUCGGUGCAGGAUGGGCCCGCGGCCUAUCAGCUUGUUGGUGGGGUAAUGGCCUACCAAGGCGACGACGGGUAGCCGACCUGAGAGGGUGACCGGCCACACUGGGACUGAGAAACGGCCCAGACUCCUACGGGAGGCAGCAGUGGGGAAUAUUGCACAAUGGGCGAAAGCCUGAUGCAGCGACGCCGCGUGAGGGAUGACGGCCUUCGGGUUGUAAACCUCUUUCAGCAGGGACGAAGCGCAAGUGACGGUACCUGCAGAAGAAGCACCGGCUAACUACGUG
rnacentral:rRNA from 1 species